rnacentral:lncRNA from 1 species
CGGGGCCUCACACGACAGCUUGGUCCACUAAUCGCAAAAGCAAUUUAUUUUAUUUUCUUAAACAAACAAAGAAAAAUAUAUAGAAAUUUGGUAAAUAUAUAACAUACAAAUAUGAAUUGAUUAAAAAUUAAGUUUGUUUUAUUCUUAAUAACUUCGCUGGCACAUGGCAUUAAAUUUCACGCGGGAAGUGGCCUAUUUGAGGCCUACUCGAUUAUUUAGUUAGCAUUUAGGCACAAAGACACAAAUGUAUAUCAUAGUCGGAUAAAUGUUGAAGUAAGAAGAUGAAGUUACCAAAAAAUAACGCUUUCUUCAGUUUCACUGUGGAAAGACCGCGAAGUGAAGUAUACACUGCGUGGUUUCUGUGGAUGGCCUGAGUGUCUUCAGCUGCGGCAGAAUCCUCUGAGGAACUGGCCUGACUCAUCUGCGUCUGUGACAGGUCAUGUCCAUGAGCAGGAGUGGAUAACCCAAAGCGCCCAAACCGGCUCACUAACACUCAAAUCCAUGUUUAAAGAUGCUGUCAGGAAAGGAAACGCAUGGAAAAGUUGCUACCAGACUGGCAUUGUUUCUGGAGCUUAUGAUGCAGACAGACGGGACGGUUGCCCUCAGACCAAAGGAGACGUUGACCUAGAGGGAGAUCGGCAGCGAGCGGCAUGAAAGUUACAGCCCUCAUGUGGGACAAACAGCAGAGAAGGGCUUCACACCAGGCAACACAUGCAAAAUUGACAAGAGGAUGUGGGGAAAAAAGGGGUUGGACGAGGAUGAAUAAAACAAAUCAUGGUGCUUGACUGGAGGUGAUUUGAAAUAUUCUUUGUCUUCAUUUACGCUUGAGAAUAAUAUAACAUCCCGACAGGAGACCGGGCUAGGGGCUCCAGUCGCACGCAGGGGAUAAAAAAUUAAUUAAAAGAUGAGAGAA